UUCCUCAACACCGGUGAGGCUGCUGCCACCGGCGGCGCAGCCAUCACCAUCAUUCAAACAAUCAACAAAAUGUGUUUUCCCCAAAUUCAAGAAAUUCAAACAAGUGCUUGAACGGCCGACCAACAAAUUCAAGAAAUUCAAAAAGCAGACCAACAAAUUCAAGAAAUUCUCCAACUAAAAGGCGCCUGAAAACCCUAGGCCGCAAAUCACAACCGCACUCUUCUUAGAUUUCUAGCGAUUUUCUCCUGAAAACCCUAGGCCUAGGGUAACAUAAUCCUUUCCGGCGAUUUCCGCCUGAUAACCCUAGAGCUCGUUGUGCUGUGCGAGAUGAGGAUGGAGUGCUGGUGCAAGCUAGAGCUCGUUGUUUUCAUGAGGCUUUUAUCGUGGAUAAAAAGUUUAGGCCUUGGUCAAGUGGUGUUUCAUAUGGACAGCAAGAUCGUGAUGGAUGUUGUCAAUUCCUCGAAUAUGAGAAGGUCUGUGUUAUUGAAGGAAUCAUAAAAACAUGUA
rnacentral:lncRNA from 1 species